rnacentral:rRNA from 1 species
AGCAGUAUCCGCGGUAAUACAGAGGGUGCGAGCGUUAAUCGGAUUUACUGGGCGUAAAGCGUGCGUAGGCGGCUUUUUAAGUCGGAUGUGAAAUCCCUGAGCUUAACUUAGGAAUUGCAUUCGAUACUGGGAAGCUAGAGUAUGGGAGAGGAUGGUAGAAUUCCAGGUGUAGCGGUGAAAUGCGUAGAGAUCUGGAGGAAUACCGAUGGCGAAGGCAGCCAUCUGGCCUAAUACUGACGCUGAGGUACGAAAGCAUGGGGAGCAAACAGGAUUAGAUACCCCGGUAGUCCCUGUCUCUUAUAA